GAUGAACGCUGGCGGCGUGCCUAAUACAUGCAAGUCGAGCGAACGGACGAGAAGCUUGCUUCUCUGAUGUUAGCGGCGGACGGGUGAGUAACACGUGGAUAACCUACCUAUAAGACUGGGAUAAUUUCGGGAAACCGGAGCUAAUACCGGAUAAUAUUUUGACCCGCAUGGUUCAAAAGUGAAAGACGGUCUUGCUGUCACUUAUAGAUGGAUCCGCGCUGCAUUAGCUAGUUGGUGAGGUAACGGCUUACCAAGGCAACGAUGCAUAGCCGACCUGAGAGGGAGAACGGCCACACUGGAACUGAGACAGGGUCCAGACUCCUACAGGAGGCCACAGUACAGAAUCUUACGCAAUGGGCGAGAGCGUGACGGUGCACCGCGGCGUGAGUGAUGAAGGACUACGGAUCGGAGAACGCUGUUAUUAGGGAAGAACAUAUGUGUAAGUAACUGUGCACAUCAUGACGGUACCUAAACAGAAAGCCACGGCUAACUACGUG
rnacentral:rRNA from 1 species